CGGCUAACAUUUACGGAAGGGGAACUAGACGCUUCCGUCCUUGAUUGUGCCUGCCCUGGGCUGCCUCCUCCCACCUCACUGUCCCAGGGUCGGCUCCUGCUCUUCAGGAAAGAGCAAUGAAGCAACAAAUACAAAAUGGCCAGGAGCCACAAGACGUGAACGGUUCCAUUGAAAUCAUCCAUGCAAUCGGCCAAUGCUUUCUUUCAGAUACAGUAGCUCUUGUAAUUUGUUUAUGUUAUAUCAAUGAUUCUGGGGUCUUCCAAUUUAUUCCAGAGUCAAUCUAGCAAAACUGAUGUCAUAUUCAGAAUCAGCAACUUUGGCAUUAUACUGGCGCUAAACCAAAGGAAAACAGAAGGAGAACAUUCUACCCAAAAUCAGGAAUACUGAAGGACUGCAAACAUCAAAUCAAUAUCUGCAGCCUUUCUACAUCAGAGUCAUAAUGUAUAUAAGGGAGCCUGGAACACAGUCUCAAUAAAUGCUGAAGGCAGAAAUUGGCUCAUUCUGAAUACUCUUCCACAACUGAGCCAAGUCACCAGGCUCUGUUGAUUCUUGGAACUGAAAUCAAGCUGCUUAUGGUUUCUCUAGAUCAGGUCUUCCAAAAUAUUACGAAUGCCCUCAUCACUGCCAAGAUUUUUGCUAAGUAAAUUACCGAGAUGACACUUUGAAGAAAAAACGGCAUCUCGGUCAAAAUCGGGACCUUAGUAAAUAUACCCCCCUGAGUUUGAAGGAUGGAACCUGCAGUGCUUGAAUAAUAUUCUGCCCAUAAUGGAUUUGGCCAAAAAAUGUUUCUGGCAUCGGCAUCAAUUGGAAUCCCGACGCUGGAAUCCUGACCGCCGACAUCCCAAACAUGCAGAAUAUGGCAGGAGAACUGCAGAUGACAACUUGAUUGGGCUUUCCGAGACUAGUAACCCCUUGCCUGCCAGAGCCUUCCAAAACCCAUGCAACAUCCUUUUUGAUUUAUCCAGAUUUUUAACACCAAGAAGUUAAAUUUCCCAGCACAUAUCAAAGAAGGGGAGGGGAAUAUUACACUCCGUGUCAUUAUUCAUGAAGUGCUGAAGGAUAGCGCGAAUGUCAUCCGAGGGACAGGUAAAAGUUUGGUUGCAGAUGGCUGCACAGUAAGACAUUAAGGAACACAAGACUUGAAGGAAGCAGGCGGUUCAUUGACUGCCUGUCACACAACGAUGCACAGCUGAAAUUCAAAUCACAUUAAAUGGCUUCCAAAAUUGCUCAUAAAGUUGGGAAAGCAGACCGGACGCGGAGGUAUAAUUCUAGUGGAGAAAACACCUGACUUCUCCAAGGUUGACAUUUCCAUCAAGCUUGGCGAAUAAAGAGCCUUUUAUUGCUCAAGCAACAAGCUGGGUUACUAAUAGGAAUCUUACGCUCAAUGCCACACAUUUACCUAACAAUAACAUAGUCCAUGUAAGCAGAGAAUUACUUUCUAUCUGUCCACAUGCGCCUUUCUACAGCCUGCUACAGUUCUCAUUAAAAAUAGUAUGCUUUAGCGACAGAUAUUCAAGAGAUGGUGAAUCUCUUUUUUUCAGAUUUAAAAGGAGGAUGUCAUGUUUAAUCAAGAGACGUAAAAUGUGAGCAUCAGAAUUUUUUUUAUUUAUUUUCUAUUUAUUCAAGAUUUUUUUCAUGUAUUUGUGCAAAGCAAGAAAUUCGAGAUGGGGCAUAGGAGUAAGGGAGACACUUAAGGUUGGAUGUUGGGGUUUGUAGGGUAUCUUGACCAUGCCACUCUAUACGAUGCAAACUGUAAGACACAGAGAACGUGUAUUUUGUAGACCUUUUAAAAGAGAAUAGAAUAGCAGGAAUGGCUGAUAAACGGAAUGGAGCCCGGCAUGUUUUGUUUUUUUCUAAUUUAGGAUUAGAAUCUACAGCAGGCAUUCCC